UUGGGUGACUGCGUACCUUUUGUAUAAUGGGUCAGCGACUUAUAUUCUGUAGCAAGGUUAACCGUAUAGGGGAGCCGCAGGGAAACCGAGUCUUAACUGGGCGUUAAGUUGCAGGGUAUAGACCCGAAACCCGGUGAUCUAGCCAUGGGCAGGUUGAAGGUUGGGUAACACUAACUGGAGGACCGAACCGACUAAUGUUGAAAAAUUAGCGGAUGACUUGUGGCUGGGGGUGAAAGGCCAAUCAAACCGGGAGAUAGCUGGUUCUCCCCGAAAGCUAUUUAGGUAGCGCCUCGUGAACUCAUCUUCGGGGGUAGAGCACUGUUUCGGCUAGGGGGUCAUCCCGACUUACCAACCCGAUGCAAACUACGAAUACCGAAGAAUGUUAUCACGGGAGACACACGGCGGGUGCUAACGUCCGUCGUGAAGAGGGAAACAACCCAGACCGCCAGCUAAGGUCCCAAAGUCAUGGUUAAGUGGGAAACGAUGUGGGAAGGCCCAGACAGCCAGGAUGUUGGCUUAGAAGCAGCCAUCAUUUAAAGAAAGCGUAAUAGCUCACUGGUCGAGUCGGCCUGCGCGGAAGAUGUAACGGGGCUAAACCAUGCACCGAAGCUGCGGCAGCGACACUAUGUGUUGUUGGGUAGGGGAGCGUUCUGUAAGCCGUUGAAGGUGGCCUGUGAGGGUUGCUGGAGGUAUCAGAAGUGCGAAUGCUGACAUAAGUAACGAUAAUGCGGGUGAAAAACCCGCACGCCGGAAGACCAAGGGUUCCUGUCCAACGUUAAUCGGGGCAGGGUGAGUCGACCCCUAAGGCGAGGCCGAAAGGCGUAGUCGAUGGGAAACAGGUUAAUAUUCCUGUACUCGGUGUUACUGCGAAGGGGGGACGGAGAAGGCUAUGUUGGCCGGGCGACGGUUGUCCCGGUUUAAGCAUGUAGGCGGAUGUUCCAGGUAAAUCCGGAACGUUACUAACGCUGAGGUGUGAUGACGAGGCACUACGGUGCUGAAGUGACAAAUGCCCUGCUUCCAGGAAAAGCCUCUAAGCAUCAGGUAACAUCAAAUCGUACCCCAAACCGACACAGGUGGUCAGGUAGAGAAUACCAAGGCGCUUGAGAGAACUCGGGUGAAGGAACUAGGCAAAAUGGUGCCGUAACUUCGGGAGAAGGCACGCUGAUGGUAGGUGAAGUGACUUGCUCAUGGAGCUGAAAUCAGUCGAAGAUACCAGCUGGCUGCAACUGUUUAUUAAAAACACAGCACUGUGCAAACACGAAAGUGGACGUAUACGGUGUGACGCCUGCCCGGUGCCGGAAGGUUAAUUGAUGGGGUUAUCCGUAAGGAGAAGCUCUUGAUCGAAGCCCCGGUAAACGGCGGCCGUAACUAUAACGGUCCUAAGGUAGCGAAAUUCCUUGUCGGGUAAGUUCCGACCUGCACGAAUGGCGUAAUGAUGGCCAGGCUGUCUCCACCCGAGACUCAGUGAAAUUGAACUCGCUGUGAAGAUGCAGUGUACCCGCGGCAAGACGGAAAGACCCCGUGAACCUUUACUAUAGCUUGACACUGAACACUGGUCCUUGAUGUGUAGGAUAGGUGGGAGGCUUUGAAGUGUGGACGCCAGUCUGCAUGGAGCCAUCCUUGAAAUACCACCCUUUAAUGGCUGGUGUUCUAACGUGGGCCCCUAAUCGGGGUUGCGGACAGUGUCUGGUGGGUAGUUUGACUGGGGCGGUCUCCUCCUAAAGAGUAACGGAGGAGCACGAAGGUCAGCUAAUCCUGGUCGGACAUCAGGAGGUUAGUGCAAUGGCAUAAGCUGGCUUGACUGCGAGCGUGACGGCGCGAGCAGGUGCGAAAGCAGGUCAUAGUGAUCCGGUGGUUCUGAAUGGAAGGGCCAUCGCUCAACGGAUAAAAGGUACUCCGGGGAUAACAGGCUGAUACCGCCCAAGAGUUCAUAUCGACGGCGGUGUUUGGCACCUCGAUGUCGGCUCAUCACAUCCUGGGGCUGAAGUAGGUCCCAAGGGUAUGGCUGUUCGCCAUUUAAAGUGGUACGCGAGCUGGGUUUAGAACGUCGUGAGACAGUUCGGUCCCUAUCUGCCGUGGGCGCUGGAGAAUUGAGGGGGGCUGCUCCUAGUACGAGAGGACCGGAGUGGACGCAUCACUGGUGUUCGGGUUGUCAUGCCAAUGGCAUUGCCCGGUAGCUAAAUGCGGAAGAGAUAAGUGCUGAAAGCAUCUAAGCACGAAACUUGCCCCGAGAUGAGUUCUCCCUGACCCUUUAAGGGUCCUGAAGGAACGUUGAAGACGACGACGUUGAUAGGCCGGGUGUGUAAGCGCAGCGAUGCGUUGAGCUAACCGGUACUAAUGAACCGUGAGGCUUAACCUU
rnacentral:rRNA from 1 species